rnacentral:rRNA from 1 species
GUGGCGGACGGGUGAGUAACACGUGGGUAACCUACCCUUAAGUGGGGGAUAACAUUUGGAAACAGAUGCUAAUACCGCAUAACCAUUCAGACCACAUGGUCUGAAUGUAAAAGACGGCCUUUGGCUGUCACUUUUGGACGGACCCGCGGCGUAUUAGUUAGUUGGUAAGGUAACGGCUUACCAAGACAAUGAUACGUAGCCGACCUGAGAGGGUAAUCGGCCACAUUGGGACUGAGACACGGCCCAAACUCCUACGGGAGGCAGCAGUAGGGAAUCUUCCACAAUGGACGAAAGUCUGAUGGAGCAACGCCGCGUGAGUGAAGAAGGUUUUAGGAUCGUAAAACUCUGUUGUUGGAGAAGAACAGGGACUAGAGUAACUGUUAGUCCUUUGACGGUAUCCAACCAGAAAGCCACGGCUAACUACGUGCCAGCAGCCGCGGUAAUACGUAGGUGGCAAGCGUUGUCCGGAUUUAUUGGGCGUAAAGCGAGCGCAG